CCAUUGACCUACAAGCCUUCCUUGAUUUGCAAGACUCCCAUCAGUGUCGUAUGAGUAAUAUGGUUUGUAAUAUGUGAUGGGCACUUGAGUUCAAGAGUGCUCUCUAAAAGUGCAGAGUUGUGAAUUCAUUUGAAUAUGUGUUGAUAAAUAUAAUGCACUUUUUGUAAAAUAUAAAGCUUUAGGGUAAUGUGUACUUCUUACACAGUCCUUGGUUUCUGGUAUGCUUAUGGGUGUCCCUUGCAACACACAUUUUUUGUGUGCAACCCUUAGUUUACCUCUUUGCCCUUCACUCUUCAAUGGUUGUAGAGGGUGCCAGUCACUUAACUAGCCACUAGGUGGCGGUGAUGAUCCAUCACUAAUGUUUUAGUCUUUCACUAGCUUGAUUUCCCAGUUGGGCUGUUUUCACAGGCUGCACUUAAUUCCAGGAAGCAUUCAGGGCACUGAAUUUUAAAGAGGUCAAGUGGGUGGGUGUGUUUGUGCAACAAUUAAAUGGCAGAGUUAAAUCUACCCUGAUCCUUAAAAGUGUCCCAAGGAGAGCAGUCAGUCCUGGUGAUUUCAGCAUGUAGGCUAAGAGCAGUAAAUUUUCUAGAUCAAGAGAAACUCUGAGGUAGAUGUGGUCAGAAGGCACAUAAUGCAGCAAAACUCUUGAAACUAUGCAGGUCUGUAACUGGUCAGUGCCUGGAUGGAAGACCACCUGGGAACUCCAUGCGCUGCAGUGAGCUUCUUGAGAGAAAGGAAUGACUCGGUAAGGAAUACAGCAUUUCAGACAAGAGCCCAUUCCAGCAGAAGCACAAAAGGAGACACUGUGGAGGAGACUGGAUUUGAUAGGAACCUUGCAGAAUGAACGCAGCCUGUUUCUAGCCAUGAUUGCACAAAAAGACUAACUCCAAAGUAAGUGGGCAUAUGACUACAGCCUUAGUUUGUAAUUUUCUUUUCUACUUAUUAUGGCCAUUGGGCAGAUGUGGGGAACCUCCAAAUGUUGCUGAGCUGUCAUUCUGAUCUUCCCUGACCCAGACCGGUCAUGGUGGCUGUGGCUGAUGGAAAUUAAGCAACUUCUAAAGGACCAAAGGUUCCCAUCUCUGCUAUAGGACAUGAAAGGUAGUACCAGAUGUUCUCUUCACACAACUUAUACUGGAAUAGAUGCAAUGAACUCAACGGGAGACAACACAAACACACACACAGAGAGAGAAUGGUCUUGUCAGAUCCUGGUUCAAAUGAUGUUAUGGUACCACAGUAGGGAAGGGCUCCUGCCUUGAGGGGCAUAAAUUAACUUUUCAUGUCCUACUUGCCAAAGGCAGAGAUAAAUUAUAUGGUUGUCCUGUCUACAUCUGGUUCUCUUAUGUCAUGGCUAAGGAGUUUGAGGCUUUGUGCUCAUUUUUUAAAAAAUGCUUUGCAAGUGGUUGACGCUGCAGAGGGCCAAAUGCAAGUUACU